ACCCAGUUGUGUCCAUAGCAUUGACAAAUUCAAGAAACAACUUUUGACUUACCUAACACCAUCUCUGAUAUUGCCCUAUGCUAAGCCACUCUCUUCAUCAACAUACUGCAAUCUCUACAACACGAUUUCUGUGAAGGUUGAAUUGCCAAAUAAUGAAAGCUCUGAAG